GGGUUGUGAGGUUAAGCGACUAAGCGUACACGGUGGAUGCCCUGGCAGUCAGAGGCGAUGAAGGACGUGCUAAUCUGCGAUAAGCGUCGGUAAGGUGAUAUGAACCGUUAUAACCGGCGAUUUCCGAAUGGGGAAACCCAGUGUGAUUCGUCACACUAUCAUUAACUGAAUCCAUAGGUUAAUGAGGCGAACCGGGGGAACUGAAACAUCUAAGUACCCCGAGGAAAAGAAAUCAACCGAGAUUCCCCCAGUAGCGGCGAGCGAACGGGGAGCAGCCCAGAGCCUGAAUCAGUGUGUGUGUUAGUGGAAGCGUCUGGAAAGGCGCGCGAUACAGGGUGACAGCCCCGUACACAAAAAUGCACAUGCUGUGAGCUCGAUGAGUAGGGCGGGACACGUGGUAUCCUGUCUGAAUAUGGGGGGACCAUCCUCCAAGGCUAAAUACUCCUGACUGACCGAUAGUGAACCAGUACCGUGAGGGAAAGGCGAAAAGAACCCCGGCGAGGGGAGUGAAAAAGAACCUGAAACCGUGUACGUACAAGCAGUGGGAGCACGCUUAGGCGUGUGACUGCGUACCUUUUGUAUAAUGGGUCAGCGACUUAUAUUCUGUAGCAAGGUUAACCGAAUAGGGGAGCCGAAGGGAAACCGAGUCUUAACUGGGCGUUAAGUUGCAGGGUAUAGACCCGAAACCCGGUGAUCUAGCCAUGGGCAGGUUGAAGGUUGGGUAACACUAACUGGAGGACCGAACCGACUAAUGUUGAAAAAUUAGCGGAUGACUUGUGGCUGGGGGUGAAAGGCCAAUCAAACCGGGAGAUAGCUGGUUCUCCCCGAAAGCUAUUUAGGUAGCGCCUCGUGAAUUCAUCUCCGGGGGUAGAGCACUGUUUCGGCAAGGGGGUCAUCCCGACUUACCAACCCGAUGCAAACUGCGAAUACCGGAGAAUGUUAUCACGGGAGACACACGGCGGGUGCUAACGUCCGUCGUGAAGAGGGAAACAACCCAGACCGCCAGCUAAGGUCCCAAAGUCAUGGUUAAGUGGGAAACGAUGUGGGAAGGCCCAGACAGCCAGGAUGUUGGCUUAGAAGCAGCCAUCAUUUAAAGAAAGCGUAAUAGCUCACUGGUCGAGUCGGCCUGCGCGGAAGAUGUAACGGGGCUAAACCAUGCACCGAAGCUGCGGCAGCGACGCUUAUGCGUUGUUGGGUAGGGGAGCGUUCUGUAAGCCUGUGAAGGUGUGCUGUGAGGCAUGCUGGAGGUAUCAGAAGUGCGAAUGCUGACAUAAGUAACGAUAAAGCGGGUGAAAAGCCCGCUCGCCGGAAGACCAAGGGUUCCUGUCCAACGUUAAUCGGGGCAGGGUGAGUCGACCCCUAAGGCGAGGCCGAAAGGCGUAGUCGAUGGGAAACAGGUUAAUAUUCCUGUACUUGGUGUUACUGCGAAGGGGGGACGGAGAAGGCUAUGUUGGCCGGGCGACGGUUGUCCCGGUUUAAGCGUGUAGGCUGGUUUUCCAGGCAAAUCCGGAAAAUCAAGGCUGAGGCGUGAUGACGAGGCACUACGGUGCUGAAGCAACAAAUGCCCUGCUUCCAGGAAAAGCCUCUAAGCAUCAGGUAACAUCAAAUCGUACCCCAAACCGACACAGGUGGUCAGGUAGAGAAUACCAAGGCGCUUGAGAGAACUCGGGUGAAGGAACUAGGCAAAAUGGUGCCGUAACUUCGGGAGAAGGCACGCUGAUAUGUAGGUGAAGUCCCUCGCGGAUGGAGCUGAAAUCAGUCGAAGAUACCAGCUGGCUGCAACUGUUUAUUAAAAACACAGCACUGUGCAAACACGAAAGUGGACGUAUACGGUGUGACGCCUGCCCGGUGCCGGAAGGUUAAUUGAUGGGGUUAGCGCAAGCGAAGCUCUUGAUCGAAGCCCCGGUAAACGGCGGCCGUAACUAUAACGGUCCUAAGGUAGCGAAAUUCCUUGUCGGGUAAGUUCCGACCUGCACGAAUGGCGUAAUGAUGGCCAGGCUGUCUCCACCCGAGACUCAGUGAAAUUGAACUCGCUGUGAAGAUGCAGUGUACCCGCGGCAAGACGGAAAGACCCCGUGAACCUUUACUAUAGCUUGACACUGAACAUUGAGCCUUGAUGUGUAGGAUAGGUGGGAGGCUUUGAAGUGUGGACGCCAGUCUGCAUGGAGCCGACCUUGAAAUACCACCCUUUAAUGUUUGAUGUUCUAACGUUGACCCGUAAUCCGGGUUGCGGACAGUGUCUGGUGGGUAGUUUGACUGGGGCGGUCUCCUCCUAAAGAGUAACGGAGGAGCACGAAGGUUGGCUAAUCCUGGUCGGACAUCAGGAGGUUAGUGCAAUGGCAUAAGCCAGCUUGACUGCGAGCGUGACGGCGCGAGCAGGUGCGAAAGCAGGUCAUAGUGAUCCGGUGGUUCUGAAUGGAAGGGCCAUCGCUCAACGGAUAAAAGGUACUCCGGGGAUAACAGGCUGAUACCGCCCAAGAGUUCAUAUCGACGGCGGUGUUUGGCACCUCGAUGUCGGCUCAUCACAUCCUGGGGCUGAAGUAGGUCCCAAGGGUAUGGCUGUUCGCCAUUUAAAGUGGUACGCGAGCUGGGUUUAGAACGUCGUGAGACAGUUCGGUCCCUAUCUGCCGUGGGCGCUGGAGAACUGAGGGGGGCUGCUCCUAGUACGAGAGGACCGGAGUGGACGCAUCACUGGUGUUCGGGUUGUCAUGCCAAUGGCACUGCCCGGUAGCUAAAUGCGGAAGAGAUAAGUGCUGAAAGCAUCUAAGCACGAAACUUGCCCCGAGAUGAGUUCUCCCUGA
rnacentral:rRNA from 1 species